rnacentral:lncRNA from 10 species
CCCUCUCCCCAGCAUCUCGGCCCCUCUCUGGCGUGGUUCCCUCACACCUAAGCCCAAUGGUGUUUUGCAGGCUUUCAGCUGUUACCUCAGUCCCUCCUCGCCUCAUUCCCGAUUCACUCCGUUGCUAUAGGUAUGUUUGAAACCCCAGCGUGGUAGAUUUUAAUUAGUCUUCCUACAGAUGGCCAAUUAACAUUCAUUACUUUUGCCUUGAGCGAUUAAUUAUGAGUUUGGAUAGAAAAGGAGAGAAGAGGAGAGGAAGAUGGGCAGG